rnacentral:rRNA from 1 species
ACAGAUCACGUAGGGAAUUAUUGGUUGAACAAACCAUCUUUAUAUAACUUUUGCGCUAUAUAGAUACCCUAAGCCAACAUCGAGGUGCCAAACCCCACUGUUGAUAAGGACUCUUGAGUGGGAUUAGCCUGUUAUCCCUAAGGUAGCUUGGUUUUGUGAUCUUUUAAGGGUCAUUUGUUUGAUUAAUUUAUCUUUUAUAUAGUGGGUGAUUAUUUAGCCCUGGGUCGCCCCAACCGAAUAUUUUUAUAGUUUAGUUCUAUAGGUAAAAUUAAGCUCUAUAGGGUCUUCUUGUCCUUYGAGUUUAUCUACUUUUCUUCAGGUAGAAAAUAAUUUUUAGUUAAUUAAUUGAGACAGUCUUUAUUUCGUUAACCCCUUCAUUCUAGCCUACAAUUAAUAGGCAAGUGAUUAUGCUACCUUUGCACGGUUAGGAUACCGCGGCCGUUGAACAGUUGUCACUGGGCAGAUAUUAUCUCAUAUAUUGUACAUGAGACAAUGUUUUUGA